UGGGGAACUUUGGACAAUGGGCGAAAGCCUGAUCCAGCAAUGCCGCGUGUGUGAAGAAGGCCUUCGGGCUGUAAAGCACUUUUGUCCGGAAAGAAAUCCUUGGCUCUAAUACAGUCGGGGGAUGACGGUACCGGAAGAAUAAGCACCGGCUAACUACGUGCCAGCAGCCGCGGUAAUACGUAGGGUGCAAGCGUUAAUCGGAAUUACUGGGCGUAAAGCGUGCGCAGGCGGUUUGCUAAGACCGAUGUGAAAAUCCCCGGGCGUCAACCUGGGAACUGCAAUUGGUGACUGGCAGGCUAGAGUAUGGCAGAGGGGGUAGAAUUCCACGUGUAGCAGUGAAAUGCGUAGAGAUGUGGAGGAAUACCAAUGGCGAAGGCAG
rnacentral:rRNA from 1 species